UGCAAUUUAGCUUAGUAGCUGGCGGCAAGGGCAAAUGAGCUAGAAGCUUCCUAGUUUCUGCAAAGAAGGUUUCGGGAGGCUUAUGUGGGGAGUGGAGGGCGGCUCGGGCUUCGUGGCGGGCGCGUCAGUGGGGGGAGAGUCGGCGCAGGGCCGCGGGGGACCGAGGCUCAAGGGCCGCGUGCCUGUUUAUCCCGUAGGGCUGCUGCAGUCCCAGGAACCUGAGGUCCCCGAAGGCCGGGCCCCCGCUCUCCGGACCCGCCGUGGGGAGCGCGCCAACCCCGGAGAAGUGGUCGCUGAAACCUCGACAGGGUGAUUGAACAUCACCGCCAGAACUUGGCCCUUAACACGCGUCGCCCUCCAUGUGCCAGCCGGGAGCAGGAUCCCUCCCUAAGGUAGGACCUAGUCCGGGCGGGGUUGGAGCUAAAUUUGGAACGUUUUGGUUGCUCAAAUGCAGUGGAAUUGGCUGAUAGUUUACAGUUGUAAGGUUUGUGCAUUGGAACACCGCACCAUCACAAUGUGUUGCUGAGAACAGCCAACGGCCUGGUUGUUUGUGGAGCAAUUACGGCUUGUUUCCAGGUGGUGUCCAGGUUUCUGGAGUGGUACUGGGGAGUGGGGAGGUGCUUGACUGCUCUGAUGAAAUCACUUAUAGGAAGUGCCGUCAGAAGCGAUAACUGACGAUAACAGUUCCUGGCUGACUGCAGUCAACAAGUCCUCCCCAGCUGCCGGUGUCCUGGCGGAUCUUGGUUUGAGCAGUGACCUUUAUUUUCUGUAUUCACCCAGGUUGCCAGUUAGCGUGCGAUCGUAGCAGCUGAAUAUUCGAGUGAUGAGUGGCCUGCCUUGAGGGGUGCCUGAAUUGCCCCAGGUUUUGAGUGCUGGGUUGUCGAAAAUCAGCAAUCAGCAGUGUGGAGUUGAAGCCGGUGGUGCCACAGCUCAGCCCAAGUAGAGGUAAGCUUUUGUCUGGACAAGGGCCCCCUCCCCCUCUUUGGUAGAACGAAUAAGCUAAUUUUGUGUAAACUGAUACGCAGGAAAAGGAUAUCAAAUGAUGAAAUCACCUAAAAAUAGCUGGAAUUACCGGCAGAUUGUGUAGUGUUGAACCUGUGGUUUUCUGAAGAUAUCUGUGUAUGCUGUGAAUAACCGUUGGUCGGAGUAGAGAGUGAGACUGAUACUUAGUGUCUUUGCAGGCUAUCUUCCAGAGAAUGGUCAGCCAUGCGAGGACCAGUGACCACCAUCAGCUUGGACUGAAAACCUAGACUUCAGUAGUUGGUGUGGAAACAGUACUUACCUGAGGCUGAGAUUCAGAGCCCAUUCCGUUACCAGCAGUAGAACCAACAAAUGUGUUUUUGUCACUGUUGGUUUUCUAGUGUUACAAAUAUAUUUCUAGUUCUCCCUUGCCCAAAGAGCUUUCUGCACUUUUUAAUUUUGUAUAAAUUCUGUUGGGUGAGGGUCUGAGUUCUUAAGCUUAAAGCUUAUUUCUUCCUGAAAUUAGCAUUUCCAUGCAAUUACAAUAAACCAGUACUACAAUAAA